rnacentral:tRNA from 1 species
UCCCUGGUGGCUCAGAGGGUAAAGCAUCUGCCUGCAAUGCGGGAGACCCGGGUUCAAUCCCUGGGUAGGGAA